rnacentral:lncRNA from 1 species
GUUAUCAUUAAUUGACAGUAAAAAUUCAGUUGAUACAAUUAAAAAUGUUUUGCUCUUACUGACAACAGACACUAUUUUCAGAAUGCAGCAUGAAUGGUCUAAAGAAGAAAAAAAAGUCUAAAAAGUUGACAAGUCUAUGUAUUGCUAUCACUGAUGCUGCUUCAAAGUCAAAUAACAGCUUAACCAAAAUGGAUCUCAUGCAACUUAUUAGGAGAUUAAUUAGGCAUUCUUCUGACCGAUUCAAAAGAAAAUCCACCAAUAUCAAUAUUGAUCAAUGAUGGCUUAAUUAACUUCAAUCAACUGUUGUGUUUUUAUUUAUUUUGCAUUUUUCAGUAAUUUUCUUUUUACUUAUUAUCUACUAUCGAUUAUACUCUACAAAAUAUAUUAGUUUUUAAUUUGGAAAG